UUGACUCAACAUGGGAAACCUCACCCGGCCCGGACAUGGAAAGGAUUGACAGAUUGAUAGCUCUUUCUCGAUUCUGUGGGUGGUGGUGCAUGGCCGUUCUUAGUUGGUGGAAUGAUUUGUCUGGUUAAUUCCGAUAACGAAUGAGACUCCGCCAUGCUAACUAGUUAUGCGGCCCCGUGCGGUCGUCUCCAACUUCUUAGAGGGACAAAUGGCUUUCAGCCACACGGGAUUGAGCAAUAACAGGUCUGUGAUGCCCUUAGAUGUCCGGCAUGUCCUGU